rnacentral:rRNA from 1 species
CAGUCGCCGCGUGAAUACGAAGGGUGCAAGCGUUACUCGGAAUUACUGGGCGUAAAGCGUGCGUAGGUGGUGGUUUAAGUCCGUUGUGAAAGCCCUGGGCUCAACCUGGGAAUUGCAGUGGAUACUGGGUCACUAGAGUGUGGUAGAGGAUAGUGGAAUUUCCGGUGUAGCAGUGAAAUGCGUAGAGAUCGGAAGGAACAUCUGUGGCGAAGGCGACUAUCUGGGCCAACACUGACACUGAGGCACGAAAGCGUGGGGAGCAAACAGGAUUAGAUACCCCGGUAGUCCCUGUCUCUUAUAC